rfam:Triticum aestivum genome assembly, contig: Triticum_aestivum_CS42_TGACv1_scaffold_434202_5DL
UACAUAUUCCCUCCGUCCCAAAAUUCUUGUCUUAGAUUAGUCUAGAUACGGAUGUAUCUAAUACCAGAAUGUGACUUGAUACAUCCGUAUUUAGACAAAUCUAAGACAAGAAUUUCGGGACGGAGGGAGUACAAA